rfam:Ipomoea nil DNA, scaffold: scaffold0188, cultivar: Tokyo-kokei standard.
GCCUCUAUAGUAUAGUGAUAGUGUAUUUGCUUCGUAAGCAAAAGAUCGUGAGUUCAAUCCUCACUAGAGGCU